rnacentral:lncRNA from 1 species
UCAGAUAGAACAAUCUGGGUCUUUGACUUCUCACUCCAGAAUGCCAGUCACAUGGCAAACAAGAUGCACUUUUAUCUUGUUUAAGCCAAUUUUUAUUUUCAUUUUUUUUUUUUUUAUUAUAUAUUUUUCAGACGGGGUUUCACCAUGUUGGUCAGGCUGGUGGUCUUGAACUCCCGACCUUAGGUGAUUCGCCCACCUUGGCCUCCAAAGUGCCUGGAUUACAGGUGUGAGCCACCACGCCCAGCCGUUUAAGCUUUCUCUAUUGCUUUGUUUGUUUUUUUACAGUGGUCAAACAGUAGCCUAAUAUAGACAUAGUUUUUGAAAGUCUGUCUGUACUCCCAACUCUCAUCCAAUGUGGGACUGGAAUGUAAGCCCCGUGAAGAGUAGGGGCUGUUUUUUGGUUCACUGAAACAGUGCCUGACACACUAAACAUUCAGUAAACAUUGAAUGAAUGAAUAGCAAAACCAUCAACACAGUACUAGGCCUGGAGUGCUCCCCUGAGGAAGAAUGUGGCUGGUCAGUAUAAGUAAGCGAUUGGUACAGCAACAUGCUGCGUGUGUGGCUGGUUUUCUGUUUUGACUGAAUCACAAUCGCAGAAUAUGACCUGCUAUUUUCAUUAUCUGAGAGGCAUAAACACUUGUAACAUAGUUGUAUAUUUCUUUUGUAAGUUAAAUGAAGACUCUCAGGUAAAGUUUAUUGUGGUAAUGAAAUUGGGUCAUAGAAGCAUGGAAAACUGUGACGAGGUUCACACCCAUGAGGAAAGGUCACAAGCAACACACUGUGCAUUGAAGGAGAAAAGCAGCUUUUGUACUGAGAUCUCGAGAUGUGUAGCUGGCAUGUGCCUCAUCUCGGAAGAACCACAAAGAAUCGCACAAGUCAGUCAAAAUGAAACGGAAACAUCUGAGGGUAUCAUCAAGACGCGUGGGGUAAAAGCCACUGAGUUCCAGGAUCCCGUGCUCUGGAUCACAUUUCGAAAGUCGCUUAUUACAGAUAAAGCACCUUUCCAGGUACGCUUCGGAAAACCAUAU